AGAACGAACGCUGGCGGCGUGGAUAAGACAUGCAAGUCGAACGGGACUAAAUCUGUAGCAAUACAGGUUUAGUUUAGUGGCGAACGGGUGCGUAACACGUGGGCAAUCUGCCGAAAAGUGGGGGAUAGCUCGCCGAAAGGCGAAUUAAUACCGCAUAUGAUCAGCUGGGACAUCCCAGCGAAAUCAAAGCCGGGGUAACCUGGCGCUUUUUGAUGAGCCCGCGGCCUAUCAGCUAGUUGGUGAGGUAAUGGCUCACCAAGGCAUUGACGGGUAGCUGGUCUGAGAGGACGACCAGCCACACUGGAACUGAGACACGGUCCAGACACCUACGGGUGGCAGCAGUCGAGAAUUUUUCACAAUGGGGGCAACCCUGAUGGAGCGACGCCGCGUGGAGGAUGAAGGCUUUCGGGUUGUAAACUCCUGUCAUUUGGGAACAAGGUGCAUUGAUUGACUGUCGAUGCAUUGAUAGUACCAGAAGAGGAAGAG
rnacentral:rRNA from 1 species